AUACUUACCUGGCAGGGGAGAUACCAUGAUCACGGAGGUGGUUUUCCCAGGGCAAGGCUUAUCCAUUGCACUCCGGCUGUGCUGACCUCUGCGAUUUCCCCAAAUGUGGGAAACUCGACUGCAUGAUUUGUGGUAGUGGGGGACUGCAUUCACACUUUCCCCUG
rnacentral:snRNA from 1 species